AGAGUUUGAUCAUGGCUCAGAUUGAACGCUGGCGGCAGGCCUAACACAUGCAAGUCGAGCGGUAGCACAGAGAGCUUGCUCUCGGGUGACGAGCGGCGGACGGGUGAGUAAUGUCUGGGAAACUGCCUGAUGGAGGGGGAUAACUACUGGAAACGGUAGCUAAUACCGCAUAACGUCGCAAGACCAAAGUGGGGGACCUUCGGGCCUCAUGCCAUCAGAUGUGCCCAGAUGGGAUUAGCUAGUAGGUGGGGUAACGGCUCACCUAGGCGACGAUCCCUAGCUGGUCUGAGAGGAUGACCAGCCACACUGGAACUGAGACACGGUCCAGACUCCUACGGGAGGCAGCAGUGGGGAAUAUUGCACAAUGGGCGCAAGCCUGAUGCAGCCAUGCCGCGUGUGUGAAGAAGGCCUUCGGGUUGUAAAGCACUUUCAGCGGGGAGGAAGGCGUUAAGGUUAAUAACCUUGGCGAUUGACGUUACCCGCAGAAGAAGCACCGGCUAACUCCGUGCCAGCAGCCGCGGUAAUACGGAGGGUGCAAGCGUUAAUCGGAAUUACUGGGCGUAAAGCGCACGCAGGCGGUCUGUCAAGUCGGAUGUGAAAUCCCCGGGCUUAACCUGGGAACUGCAUUCGAAACUGGCAGGCUAGAGUCUUGUAGAGGGGGGUAGAAUUCCAGGUGUAGCGGUGAAAUGCGUAGAGAUCUGGAGGAAUACCGGUGGCGAAGGCGGCCCCCUGGACAAAGACUGACGCUCAGGUGCGAAAGCGUGGGGAGCAAACAGGAUUAGAUACCCUGGUAGUCCACGCCGUAAACGAUGUCGAUUUGGAGGUUGUGCCCUUGAGGCGUGGCUUCCGGAGCUAACGCGUUAAAUCGACCGCCUGGGGAGUACGGCCGCAAGGUUAAAACUCAAAUGAAUUGACGGGGGCCCGCACAAGCGGUGGAGCAUGUGGUUUAAUUCGAUGCAACGCGAAGAACCUUACCUGGUCUUGACAUCCACAGAACUUUCCAGAGAUGGAUUGGUGCCUUCGGGAACUGUGAGACAGGUGCUGCAUGGCUGUCGUCAGCUCGUGUUGUGAAAUGUUGGGUUAAGUCCCGCAACGAGCGCAACCCUUAUCCUUUGUUGCCAGCGGUCCGGCCGGGAACUCAAAGGAGACUGCCAGUGAUAAACUGGAGGAAGGUGGGGAUGACGUCAAGUCAUCAUGGCCCUUACGACCAGGGCUACACACGUGCUACAAUGGCAUAUACAAAGAGAAGCGACCUCGCGAGAGCAAGCGGACCUCAUAAAGUAUGUCGUAGUCCGGAUUGGAGUCUGCAACUCGACUCCAUGAAGUCGGAAUCGCUAGUAAUCGUAGAUCAGAAUGCUACGGUGAAUACGUUCCCGGGCCUUGUACACACCGCCCGUCACACCAUGGGAGUGGGUUGCAAAAGAAGUAGGUAGCUUAACCUUCGGGAGGGCGCUUACCACUUUGUGAUUCAUGACUGGGGUGAAGUCGUAACAAGGUAACCGUAGGGGAACCUGCGGUUG
rnacentral:rRNA from 1 species